GACGAACGCUGGCGGCGUGCCUAAUACAUGCAAGUCGAGCGCAGGAAACUGACGGAACUCUUCGGAGGGAAGGCAGUGGAAUGAGCGGCGGACGGGUGAGUAACACGUAAGGAACCUGCCUCAAGGAUUGGGAUAACUCCGAGAAAUCGGAGCUAAUACCGGAUAGUUCAUCGGACCGCAUGGUCCGCUGAUGAAAGGCGCUCCGGCGUCACCUUGAGAUGGCCUUGCGGUGCAUUAGCUAGUUGGUGGGGUAACGGACAACCAAGGCGACGGUGCAUAGCCGACCUGGGAGGGUGAUCGGCCACACUGGGACUGAGACACGGCCCAGACUCCUACGGGAGGCAGCAGUAGGGAAUCUUCCACAAUGGACGAAAGUCUGAUGGAGCAACGCCGCGUGAGUGAUGAAGGUUUUCGGAUCGUAAAACUCUGUUGUAAGGGAAGAACACGUACGAGAGGGAAUGCUCGUACCUUGACGGUACCUUACGAGAAAGCCACGGCUAACUAUGUGCCAGCCGCCGCGGUAA
rnacentral:rRNA from 1 species